rnacentral:rRNA from 1 species
UACGAAGGGGGCUAGCGUUGCUCGGAAUCACUGGGCGUAAAGCGCACGUAGGCGGCUUUCUAAGUCAGAGGUGAAAUCCCGGGGCUCAACCCCGGAACUGCCUUUGAUACUGGAGAGCUUGAGUUCGGGAGAGGUGAGUGGAACUGCGAGUGUAGAGGUGAAAUUCGUAGAUAUUCGCAAGAACACCAGUGGCGAAGGCGGCUCACUGGCCCGAUACUGACGCUGAGAUGCGAAAGCGUGGGGAGCAAACAGG